rnacentral:lncRNA from 1 species
CCACUGGAUUGGAGGAGACCGGUGAACCCAAAGACAACCUACAUUCCCAGCAAAAUCCUACAUAAUCUAUCAUGCAAAUAUCACUUAUUCCAGCUAAUAAGUUGAGACGUGCAUUCAGUCCCAUGUGCCUGCAGCCCAUCUCACUUGUCAACCAGAAUCUCAACCAGAUUCCAAACCCCAUAAAGUUAGCCUGCAUCAGGGUUUUAACUGCAGGAGAGCUCCUGUUGACUCAUGUUCCCCUCCUGUCGCUGCCUGCUGAACAGCACCUGCCUGGGGUGCACGUGAGUGGGAGAGAAGUGCUGCAAUCUGACUUGCUUGGCAAUCAAAUGGAGUCCUGUAUUCCCUGCAUGUCCUUCCCUCCUUUAUUAUGGGAUUAAUGCCAGUCUCAUGCAUCAGGGUGUGUUCUGAGGACAAUGAAAUGGAGUGAAAGCGUCACUCUAAUAAGAGAAGCCCAGAAAAGAAACAGGAAUGUCUGAAGCCUGAGCACCUGAGCAAGAGUGGCUUUGAAUCCGCAUCCACAUGGGGAAAGGUUCUAUGCUACAAUCUGCUUAAGAAGAAAAAUAAAUGGAAGAAAUAGAAAAUGGUUUAUUGCUCUU